AGCCUGGCAACAGAGUGAGACUCUGUCUCAGGAAAAAAAUAAAAAUUAAGAAGGUAGAUCCCAUUGUUACAAUAAGAACAAAAAUGAGGCACAUGGAAACUUUUGGAGGCGAUGGAUAUGUCUGUUACCUUGGUUGUGGUGAUUGUUUCAUAAGUGUUUCUAUAUGUCCAUCUUCAGCAAGUUUGGUGUGCCGUUUCUGUGCAUCAAUUAUACUUCAAUAAAGCAGUUUUUUUAAAAAAAAAAAAAGGAUGAAAGAAGGGAAGAGGGGAGGGAAGGUGGUUACUGUUAGUUCCCAGGGAGAAUACGAGAGAAAGUUAGGGUAGAAAAAGUGUAAACUGAACCACUAGAAUAAGUUUCUGUAAGGUAGAGACAAAAGAAGAACCAUCUUGUGUGAGGCAGGGGACACAGAGACUCAGAUAUCUUUGUGUCUAAAGACAGACAGAGGUGUGAAUCACCUCCUUAAUUUGAAGGGGCACCUAAGUUGAUGAUUAACUUAGCUCUCUUUAUGCUAUUCUGGUAGAUCUUCCCAGCCUCCUUUCUCGGAAAGAGACCUCCAGUGAGAAUGGGGUAAGCAAGCCCUUUAGUGAGAAUUAGAAAGAAAGAGGAAGUGUGGUGAGUUUACUUUUUGGAAUAAAAGCACAAAGCAGAAAACCAAUGGGACACCCAGUUACUUUGUCAACAGUAUGCCAAACACUAAUUUUGGAAGAUCCUGUUAAACUUGGUAUAGUCCCUGAGUAUUAUUUUUAUUCUCCAUUGUCUGUUUCCCAGUUGUGAUCAUAUAAUAGUAAAACUCACCUAAUGAAAGCACCUGCUUCCUUGUGUUUACAAGAAACAAGGCAAGGGUACAAAAAAAAAAAAAAAGAAUGAUUAAGACCUACUAUUUGAUAGCACAAUAGGGUGACUAUAGUCAAUAAUAACUUAAUUUUGCAUGUUAAAAUAACUUAAAAGUGUAAUUGGAUUGUUUAUAACUCAAAGGAUAAAUGUUGAGGGGACAGAUACCCCAUUCCCCAUAAUGUGCUUACUUCACAUUGCAUGCCUAUAUUAAAACAUCUCAUGUAACCCAUAAAUAUAUGCACCUACUAUGUACCCACAAAAAUCUUUAUUUAAAAAAAAAUUAAAAAAGUCAAGCCCAAGUAAACCAAAUGAUGGUAUGGCAGUUUUAGAGGAGAGAGGAAAACAAAUUUAGUCCUGCAAGCCCUGCUUAUGCUGUAAAAAAGAAAAAAAAAAAAAAAAGAAGAAGAAACAUACUAGGAGUUGGCUGAGUCUUAGACAUGUACUUGAGGCCUAAGAGAAGAGAUCUGUUCUGUGUGCACACAAUUGACCUUUGUCACCAAAAAGGAAAUAAUGUUUCAGUCAUUCAUGGAGGUAAAAGAGUGGACAAAUUGUGUUGAGGUGGACAAUUGCAUCAUAAAAAUGCAUUUAUUAUUCUUCAUUACCUAAUACACUGUAAGUUCUUCAAGGGCAGAGAUUGAGUCUCCACUUUUUUCUUCCUAUGGCCCACCUUGGUAGCUGACACAAAUUAAUUACUCAUAAAUGUUGAUACAAAAUAAAUGAGUGAUUUAAUUAAUUACUUAAAAUCCUUUAUAAGUCUCAGGCUUACAGUUUUAGAAAAAUAACAAACACAGAAUUCUUAUUAGGCACUAGAAAAAUAUGUGUCAUGGAGGAAUUGAUAUUUGAUCUGAGUCUUGAUCAACAUAAUGUGGAAAACGGGGAAAGAGAUCUUUGAGGCAGAGAUAUUAGAAUUUGCAUGAUGAAGAGUCAUUUGGGGUGGCUUACAUGUAUGGGAGGAGACAUAAGACACAAGGUAUGUUAAGGCCCGACUAUGAAUAAUCUUAAGUGUGAUGUGAGAAAAUUUGGAUUUUAAUCAAUGGAUCAUGGGAAACCAUAGAAUGUUUAUAAGAAUGCAAGUGUGACUUGUGAUCUGAUUUGUCUUCUGGAAGGUUAGGUCUGGUACUAGUUUGUAUGAAGGACCAAAUGGGGACUAGAAAAGAAUCAAGUUAUGAAGCUAUUGCAAUGGUUCAGGAAAGCAAUAAAAUAAAAUAUGGACAAAGAUAAAUAAGGCACAAAUGUAUAAUAUAUUUAAACAUGUAAUUCCAAAGACUUCUGAUGGAUAUGAGUUGGAGGAUAUAAGAGAGAGAAGACUCAUGGAUGAAUCCAAGGUUUCUAGCUAGGGAAGUUGUAAAGCUCUCUUUAUUAAUAAAAUCAAAAAGAGAUGGAAGAUUCGGCAGGAAAGGCCAGAUAUCAGUAUGGGACUUUCUGAGUUUGAAGUGCCUGCAGAUAUUUUUAUGAAGAUGUUCAUAAAACAUCUAGGAAAUUAGAUAUUGAUAUCUGCAACUCUGGGAAAGACUUGUGAUUUGAGGCAUGGAUUUCAGAUUUAUCAACGAAGAAUUAGAAGAUGAGCCCAGGAUAAGUAGCUCAUCCUGUAAAAGUAGGUAGAACUGGAGGGGGAAAAGGCUGAAAUUGAAAUCCAGAAAAGUCGACAUUCAAGUAGCAAGAGUUGAGGAGGAAACAGAGAAUAUUCAGGUAGUCAGGAAGAGAGACAGGAGAGAGCUUCUCAUAGAACUCAAAGGAAGUCAAAUUUCAAUGAAUGAUUGAACCAGAUAACAAAUAAGAUGACUGAAAAAAAUUACCACUUGACUGGAUAAUUUGGAAAAAUCUGAUGACCUUAUUGCAGCAUAUUGAAUUGGGAAACCAGAGUACAAAAGCUGGAAGAAAAAAAAAACUGUAAAGGGAAAAUGGUACAUCACUGGCAGUUAGCAGUGAAGGAAAGAGCACGAUAGAGCUUACGGCUUGAAAAAGUGCCAGAAUCAAGAAAAUGCUCUGUCUCUGGGAAGUUCUGCUUUCUGUUCCCUGAUCAGGGACCAGAGAGGGGCAAAAUCUUCCUUUGAUCCUAACUCCCUAUUUUUUAUUUUUCCUCUCUCUUGAUCCCCUUGUCUACUUUUCAGAUUUAGCCUCACCUUGUAAGUGCUUCCUUUCUGAGGUGUAGGUAAGAAAGAUUGAGAUUCCAUCCGCACGAGACAAACCCAGCAGUUCGGAGCAGUCAAGACAGGUUGGAGGAACAAAGGAAGGAGGUCAUGUUACCAGUUUCUAAGGCUUGGGGUCAUCUGGAAGAAGCUGGAAUCACAGUACAGGUGGAAUGGAAGUGCAAUGGAAGAAGUGGAACCACAGUGAAGGUGGGAACUGGAGGCAUGAAGAAAACACAGCAUGUUCCAGAAGGCCAGGGCGGUCGGUUCUGCUGCACAAAUGAGGUCAGAGCAAUCAAGAGAGCCAAGGAAGUCCUACUUAUCUGGAUUAAAUAACUCAAUCUACAAACUACUCAACUUUAAUAUAAGGUGGAAAAUAGGAUUUCAAAAGAAAAGAAGAAGGAGAAGAACAAGGACAAGAAACUGAGUUUUGGCAGAAGGCAAGUGAGCAAUUAAAAAUAAAUCUUUCAUGAUUUGCUCCCACAGGCAAAAAAUAUAAUAAUAUUUUUCAAUCCUGCUUAACCCAAAAUAAUCUGAGAUAUUUAAAGUAUUACAACCACUGGUGACAAACCAGGGAGUUUAUUAUGUUCUUUCACAAGCAGAGACGUCUCAGGAGUCGGGUAGUACAUAUGACAAGGAACCAAGUUACCCACAUAACAGUGUGCAGCUUUCUGUCACAUAUGAAAAGGCUGCUGUGUCUGCACCUCACAGCAGUUGGGAAUUCCAUUUUACACAAACUAGGCCAGAAAAUCUACUCUCCAUUCUGGCUGAGAAACCAGGAUAUUUUUUAAUCCUAGUAGGCAUUCAGACACAAAUGGAGUCAAAGCCAGAGAGAAAUUUGCACACCUUCCAAACCAAUACUUCACUACAAAUAGGGGUCAGUGUCUUAAGGCACACCAGUAGUUAAUAGCAGAAUCCCAUAUUAGAAAGCUCAACAUUUCAGAAACCCAACCAAUACUCCAAAAUAAAUGCAUCAUUUUAUUUGCAAAGUAGGGCAUCAUUACCUAAAGAUAACAGCAUCUGCAGAAAUACUUACUUAGCAACUAAAUCACAAGGUCUUCCUUAGAGCUUCCUUUAGGCUAGAAAUAGUCCCUGCUUAGCCAGCUGGCCUGAAAAACUAACGACAAACAUAAAAAUCAAAAGAAUUCCAGAGCUCAUCGUAGCCCUCAUCUGCUCAAAAGGGUGUCUGUAGCACUUUUUUGAGAUUGAGGGUUAUAAAGCUAGUGGUAGGGGGAAAUGCCUGGAUUUUCUUCCUUUGUGGAAUGUUUUUAUACCUGGAAAUAUCUACUGUUCUAGUUAAUCAAAUGUACAACUUUUUCUUCAACUGUUACUUAAACUUAAGGUUGAAACUAUUGCCAACAGUUGAAACAAGCCAAGGCAGAUUUUAGACACUGGACUGUGUCAGCACUGGCCAUAACUGCAGUGCAUCUAGGUCCAUGAGAACACUGAGUAAUGCUUGUUUCCAGGCAGCCAAAGAGAUCUUAAAGGAAGAUACUUUACUGUUCUGUUUCUAGAAACACAUUUUAGAAGCUCCCAUUGCUGCUAUCCUAAUUUUGUUGUGAUUUCCAAAUGUAUUUUAUUUGCAAAGAAAGCAAACACUUCCAUAUUAAUGAAAUGCUGAUUAUAAAGAAAAAUAAGCUUAUGUCAUAUUUUAUCCCUUUAAUUUACAAUGAAGUAUAUUUUAAAUUCACACAUGAGCAUGUGGAAAGAAAGAGAUAAUAAUUCCACAAUGAAUUAUCUGUAGAAAAUGUUAUUUCUAAUUUACUUUUGACCUAAACAUAAGGGCAGAAAGAUUCAUAGAUGACUAUUCUAACAGAGCUUGCUUGAAUCACUCAUAUCAUUUUAUUUUCAUUGAGCCCUAGUUAUCCAAAAGAUACUGUGGUAAGUGCUGAGGAAAUAGGAAGAACUAUGAGAUAAACUCCAGCUUUCUUGACAUCUGAUCUGAGUAAAGUUAAUAAACACACAAUUAAAAUGCAGUGCAGGUCAGUAUAUAAAAAGUAUCCUGCACACCAAGUGCAUAGUUCAAGGGACUUCCUAUCAGGAAUUAUGAGGGAAACUUCUGCCUCAAUCAGUAGUCUGCAAACUACAGCCCACAGGCCAAAUCUACCUGUCACCUGUUUUUAGAUGGCCCAUGAGCUGAGACUAGUUUUUAACAUUUUUAAAUUGUUAAACAAAACUGAUUGAACAAAACUAAACAGGAGAAUAGUAUAUCAUGACACAUGAAAAAUAUUUAAAACUGAAUGUUCAAUGUCAGCAAGUAAAGGGUUUGUUGUUGUUGUUUAUUUGUUUGUUUUAAGAGACAUGGUCUCUUUCUGUCACACAGGCUAGAAUACAGUGGUGUGGGCCUACUUCACUGCAGCCUGUAACUCCUGGGCUCAAGUAAUCCUCCCAUCUCAGCCUCUUGAGUAGCUGGGACUACAAGCACAUGCCCAGCUAAAUUUUUUAUUUUGUUGUAUGGACAGGAUCUGCCUAUGCUGACCAGGUUGGUACAAAUGAAGUUUUAUUGGAACACAGCUACACCCAUUCCUUUGUAUAUUAUCUAUGUCUGCUUUCAUGCUACAACAGAGUUGAAUGAUUACCACAAUUACUGUAUGGCUCAGAAAGCCUAGAAUAUUUGUUGUCUGGCCCUUCACAGGAAAAAAAAAAAAAAGUCAAUUCCUGGCCUAGAGGAUUGAGAGAAGCUUUAUGAUUGACCUGUAUUUUGAAGGAAAGAAGUUUGUACUGGCAAAGUCAUAAGUGAGGGGUGAUUUUGGGGGAAAGGAAUGUGCCAGCAUAGCACUGGAAAGACACCUGGCUUACUCAGAAGGUAGUGAACACAUCAGUGCCACUGGGGUGAAAAGCUUAUGAAGAAACUUAAGAUGAAUGAUGCAUACUGAAAAGACAGGUGGGGCUCAUCUUGAGGACAGUCUUGAAUGCUUGGCUUGAGGAUGGGGAGGAAAGAAGUACUUCCCAUGCCCCUACACCACUUCUAUUUUCCUGUGGAAAAUAAAGACCAAGUAAGCAUUUUUUUAAAAAAACUGAAGAGUGACCUAUUCAAAGGAAAUUUGAUAGAAAAACCUUCCAUCAACUAAUUUGGCAACAAUUGUGUAGAAUGGAAGGUUGGUAGGAAGAGAAUAAUAAAAAGAUAAAGGAUAUUAAAAACAAAGAUUUAGUUAGAAGACUCUUAAAUUGUUCUAUCAGUAAAAAAGCAAGACAAAGAGAGAACUGUGUGGCUGCCUUAUGGAUAUCUGUACACCCAAAGAUCUACAUAGAGAACACACUUAAUGUACAAUGGGCAAAUAAAGGCACAAAUGGAUAAAAGGGCAGUAGGAAAGAGGGAAGUGGAGAUGAGAAGGACCGCAGGAAAUGGGGAAAGGAAAACAUUGAUGGAUUUUGGCAACUGACUGAGUGAAGAAAACAAAAAAUAGACACAUUAGUAGAUUAAGGUAAGCAAGGAAACCAUGUUUAACAUUUAGCUUUACCCAUGCAGAAUUUUAGGCAACAAAAGGUCAUUCACAAGAAACUGUCUAGCAGCAAUUGGAAAUGUGAGACGCUAGCUCUGGAGCAAGAUCAGUCAAGAUAGGGAUGAGAAGCACCCAUCUAUUCUUCAGAGAUAAGUCUAACAAUCCCAACGUGCUUCUCAUGAAUAACUGGCAGGAACUUACUAUGCCUAGAUUUAUUUUAGGAUGGGUAUGCAACUUUCUAAACCUUCCAGAGUGAGUUAUAUAGACAGAAUUUCUCACUGUGCAGCAGUUUGCAUCGUAUAUUAAAGAUGAACUUAUUAACAUGACAUUCAUUGUCCUCAGAGAUUCCACAAUCACAUCACAAUUUGCACUAACAAAAAGAGGAAGGGAAGGAG
rnacentral:lncRNA from 1 species